rnacentral:lncRNA from 1 species
CCUCUUCCUACCAGCUGCCCUUUACACACACACCUCUAUUCACUAUGCUUUUAUGAUUUUCAUAUUAUUAGAUGUAAAAUUUGAAACUAUUUAUGUUACAGUCAUUAUAGCAUGUCACGUAUUUUAUUGAUCUAUAACCUAAUGGUCUCAGCUUCUUUUAUAUGGAUUCACCCCCUUGCAUAGCCUACACAUUAUAAAAAGAAUAAAUUAAAAAUGAUUAAAACAUAUA